GACAGAGGAUGCAAGCGUUGUCCGGAUUUACUGGGCGUAAAGCGCGCGCAGGCGGCACUCUAAGUACGUCGUGAAAUAUCCCGGCUCAACCGGGAGGGUGCGAUGUAGACUAGGGAGCUAGAGGUCGGUAGAGGGGGGGGUGGAAUUGCUGGUGUAGCGGUGAAAUGCGCAGAUAUCAGGAGGAACACCGGUGGCGAAGGCGGGUCUCUGGGCCGAUACUGACGCUGAGGAGCGAAAGCGUGGGGAGCAAACAGG
rnacentral:rRNA from 1 species